GACUCAGAGGAGACUCAGAGGAGACUCAGAGGAGGCUGCUGAUGCUGAUGCUGCUGCUGCUGCAGGGUUAGGAGGGUUUCUGAUGGAGUAACAUGGAUGAGCGAGCCAAGAGAAGCGGCUGAGGAUCUUUAACUGGAUUUUGGAUGAAAACGGUUCUGCAUCGAAAAGGCAACAGGCAUGACUUUACAGUAGCAAGGUAAAAAACAAGAGAUUAAACCUGCUUUUUAUUCAGUAAUAUUCCCAGUUGAAGUAUAUUUUUGUGAAGAUGGCUCACCUAAUACGACACAAGCUCACCAACAAGCUGACCAACGCGGCCCACACGGUGUCCAACAAGUCCCAGGCCAAGGUCAGCGGGGUGUUCGCCCGGCUCGGCUUCCAGACGGCCACCGACGAGGAGGGAGUCGGGUUCGUAGAGUGCGACGACCUGGACUAUGACUACAGACAGGGCAUGCAGAUGGAUGUCCUCCAGGGAGACGAGGAGGACGGUGGACAAACUGGAGGAGGAGAGGAUGGAGAGAUGGACGGGGACAGCCACUACCAGAGAGACCAAACCAACACGAGACCAUCGACCCUGAAGACAGGAGGCUCUCUGGAGGAGGACAAACCUCAGAUCACCACAUGGGAGGCUGGCUGGAACGUCACCAACGCCAUCCAGGGCAUGUUCGUCCUCGGCCUGCCGUACGCCAUCCUCCACGGUGGCUACCUCGGCCUCUUCCUCAUCAUCUUCGCCGCCGUGGUGUGCUGCUACACCGGCAAAAUCCUCAUCGCGUGUCUCUACGAGGAGAACGAGGACGGCCUGAAGGUUCGCGUCAGAGACUCCUACGUGGACAUCGCUAACGCCUGCUGCGCGCCACGCUUUCCCGCGCUGGGCGGCCACGUGGUGAACGUGGCGCAGAUCAUCGAGCUGGUCAUGACGUGCAUCCUCUACGUGGUUGUCAGUGGAAACCUGAUGUACAACAGCUUCCCCGGGUUCCCAGUCUCCCAGAAGGCUUGGUCCGUGGUGGCCACCGUUGCUCUCCUGCCGUGCGCCUUCCUCAAGAACCUGAAGGCCGUGUCCAAGUUCAGCCUGCUGUGCACUCUGGCGCACUUCGUCAUCAAUGUGCUCGUCAUCGCGUACUGCCUCUCCAGGGCGCGCGACUGGGCCUGGGAUAAAGUGAAGUUUUACAUCGACGUGAAGAAGUUCCCCAUCUCCAUCGGCAUCAUCGUGUUCAGCUACACCUCCCAGAUCUUCCUGCCAUCCCUGGAGGGCAACAUGCAGAAGCCCAGCGAGUUCCACUGCAUGAUGGAGUGGACUCACAUCUCCGCCUGCGUCCUCAAGGGCCUCUUCGCCCUGGUGGCCUACUUGACUUGGGCAGACGCUACCAAAGAGGUCAUCACGGAUAACCUGCCUUCAACCAUCCGGGCUGUGGUGAACCUCUUCCUCGUCUCCAAGGCGCUCCUGUCUUACCCGCUGCCGUUUUUUGCAGCAGUCGAGGUUCUGGAGAAAUCUUUUUUCCAGGAUGGAGGUAGAGCCGUGUUCCCGGACUGCUACGGCCCCAAUGGGAAUUUGAAAUCCUGGGGUUUGGGUUUGCGUAUUGCUCUGGUAGUCUUCACCUUGCUCAUGGCUGUCUUUGUCCCCCAUUUCGCCCUCCUCAUGGGUCUAACUGGGAGCCUCACCGGCGCCGGCCUGUGCUUCCUCCUGCCCAGCCUCUUCCACCUGAAGCUCCAGUGGAGGAACCUCCUGUGGCACCACGUCUUCUUCGACGUCGCCAUAUUCGUUAUCGGAGGCAUAUGCGCCAUAUCUGGCUUCAUUCACUCCGUUGAAGGGCUCAUAGAGGCGUACAAGUACAAUAUCCACGACUAGAGAAGAGCAGCUCCUGAGUUGUGAUGACCUUUAUUGAAUGAUGAUGAUGUCAGGUUGCCAUGACGCAGACCUGACAUCAUCAUCAUCAUCGAUUGAAGGGCUCAUAGAGGCGUUCAAGUACAAUAUCCACGACUGUGAAGAAGAACAGCUCCUGAGAGAUGAUGACCUUUAUUGAAUGAUGAUGAUGAUGAUGAUGAUGUCAGGUUGCCAUGACGCAGACCUUAUCAAAAACAUCAUGUUAUUUUAUUUAUUUUUUAUUAUUUUAUUUAAAAGGGACCAUGUACAGUUUAAAACAUAAAUGUCACCAUUUGAUGCACCGUAUCAGAUUAUAGCUUUAAGCUAAUUCACAUCUGUAGUCC